CUUAGGAUGAACGCUAGCGACAGGCCUAACACAUGCAAGUCAGGGGCAGCACAAGGAGCAAUCUGAGGUGGCGACCGGCGCACGGGUGAGUAACACGUAUGCAACCUGCCUGUAAGCGGGGAAUAACCCGUUGAAAGACGGACUAAUACCGCAUAAUACUAAAUUACUGCAUGGUAAUUUAUUUAAACAUUUAUGGCUUACAGAUGGGCAUGCGCAUGAUUAGCUAGUUGGAGAGGUAAUGGCUCCCCAAGGCAACGAUCAUUAGGGGUUCUGAGAGGAAGGUCCCCCACACUGGUACUGAGACACGGACCAGACUCCUACGGGAGGCAGCAGUGAGGAAUAUUGGUCAAUGGACGAGAGUCUGAACCAGCCAAGUCGCGUGCAGGAAGAAUGUCCCUAUGGAUUGUAAACUGCUUUUGCAGGGGAAUAAAGUGCAUCACGUGUGAUGUUUUGUAUGUACUCUGCGAAUAAGGAUCGGCUAACUCCGUGCCAGCCGCAGC
rnacentral:rRNA from 1 species